AGCACAGUCAUUUCAAAGUGCCACACUUCCUGCUGCCAGUAGGACCGUAAAUGUAUAUUGUCAUAAAUAUUGUAGCCAGGACUAUUAUCAAACGUGAAGUUUGGAGCUGAUCGGUCAGUGUAUGCCUGAGUUCCAAACAUUGUAUGUCUGAGUUACAGCAACUUCCUUUUUAAUGGUGAUACAGCAAAAUUUGUCAGGCCGCCACGGACACACCCUUCAACGAAAAUUUAACAUUGCAAAGGCCUUUAGAUUAUGCAUACCAAAUUUGGUGUUGAAUAGAAUAGCCUUUAUUUGUCACAUAUACAUUACAGCACAGUGAAAUUUGUUCUUCGCAUAUCCCAGUUUUUGCUUGGAAACUGGGGUCAGAGCGCAUGGUCAGCCAUGAU